AGUGAACGCUGGCGGUAGGCCUAACACAUGCAAGUCGAACGGCAGCACAGUAAGAGCUUGCUCUUACGGGUGGCGAGUGGCGGACGGGUGAGGAAUACAUCGGAAUCUACUUUUUCGUGGGGGAUAACGUAGGGAAACUUACGCUAAUACCGCAUACGACCUACGGGUGAAAGCAGGGGAUCUUCGGACCUUGCGCGAUUGAAUGAGCCGAUGUCGGAUUAGCUAGUUGGCGGGGUAAAGGCCCACCAAGGCGACGAUCCGUAGCUGGUCUGAGAGGAUGAUCAGCCACACUGGAACUGAGACACGGUCCAGACUCCUACGGGAGGCAGCAGUGGGGAAUAUUGGACAAUGGGCGCAAGCCUGAUCCAGCGAUACCGCGUGGGUGAAGAAGGCCUUCGGGUUGUAAAGCCCUUUUGUUGGGAAAGAAAAGCAGCAGGUUAAUACCCCGCUGUUCUGACGGUACCCAAAGAAUAAGCCCCGGCUAACUUCGUG
rnacentral:rRNA from 1 species